rnacentral:tRNA from 1 species
GCCGAGGUGGCGAAAUGGCAGACGUGCCAGCCUUAGGAGCUGGUGGGAGCAAUCCCGUGUGGGUUCGAGUCCCACCCUCGGCA